rnacentral:rRNA from 1 species
GAGGAAAAGAAACCAACAGGGAUUGCCUCAGUAACGGCGAGUGAAGCGGCAACAGCUCAAAUUUGAAAUCUGGCCUCUUUGGGGUCCGAGUUGUAAUUUGUAGAGGAUGUUUCGGGUACCGCCUCGGUUUAAAUUUCUUGGAACAGAAUGUCAAAGAGGGUGAGAAUCCCGUCUUGGACCGGCGGUAGGGCCCAUGUGAAACUCCUUCGACGAGUCGAGUUGUUUGGGAAUGCAGCUCAAAAUGGGUGGUAAAUUUCAUCUAAAGCUAAAUAUUGGCCAGAGACCGAUAGCGCACAAGUAGAGUGAUCGAAAGAUGAAAAGCACUUUGAAAAGAGAGUUAAACAGUAUGUGAAAUUGUUGAAAGGGAAGCGCUUACAACCAGACUUGAGCGCGGCGGUUCCCCCUUCCUUUUGGUUGGGUUACUCCGUCGUGUCCAGGCCAACAUCGGUUUCGGGGGUCGGUUAAAGACCUUGGGAAUGUAUCUACCCUUCGGGCGUAGACUUAUAGCCCAGGGUGUCAUGCGGCCUCCCGGGACCGAGGAACGCGCUUCGGCUCGGAUGUUGGCGUAAUGGUUGUCAGCGACCCGUCUUGAAACACGGACCAAGGAGUCUAACAUCUAUGCGAGUGUUUGGGUGUCAAACCCGGAACGCGAAAUGAAAGUGAACGGAGGUAGGAAGCCUUGAGGCUGCACUAUCGACCGAUCCUGAUGUCUUCGGAUGGAUUUGAGUAAGAGCAUAGCUGUUGGGACCCGAAAGAUGGUGAACUAUGCCUGAAUAGGGUGAAGCCAGAGGAAACUCUGGUGGAGGCUCGCAGCGGUUCUGACGUGCAAAUCGAUCGUCAAAUUUGGGUAUAGGGGCGAAAGACUAAU